rnacentral:Y_RNA from 1 species
GGCUGGUGUGAAGGUAGUGAGUUAUGUCGAUGGACUGCUCAAGUUACAGAUCCAACUACUCCUUGUUUUGCUCUUCUAUCGCACUUGACUAGUCUUAA